GACGAACGCUGGCGGCGUGCCUAAUACAUGCAAGUCGAGCGAGCGGCGGACGGGUGAGUAAUGUCUGGGAAACUGCCUGAUGGAGGGGGAUAACUACUGGAAACGGUAGCUAAUACCGCAUACCAUCAGAUGUUCCCCGAUUGGCUUUGCUAGUAGGUGGGGUAACGGCUCACCUAGGCGACGAUCCCUAGCUGGUCUGCGAGGAUGACCAGCCACACGGGACCUGAGCAACGGGCCAGUGUCCUACGGGAGACAGCAGUGGGGAAUAGUGCAGAAUGGGCGAAAGGCUGAUGCAGCAAUGCCGCGUGUGUGAAGAAGGCCUUAGGGUUGUAAAGCACUUUCAGCGGGGAGGCGUUACCCGCAGAAGAAGCACCGGCUAACUCCGUGCCAGCAGCCGCGGUAAUAC
rnacentral:rRNA from 1 species